rnacentral:tRNA from 1 species
GAUUAAAUGGCUGAUAAAAGCAUUAGAUUGUAAAUCUAUAUAUGAAAUAAAUUUUUCUUUAAUCA